CCUGUGUCGCUCACCUUGGUCUAUGUGAAUAUUAAACAAUGGACACAGAUGGAUUCAUGACAAAAUUGUGUUUUGGUGAUGGUGAUGUGUUUGUAGAUCUUACUUUACUAAACAUUCUUGCUACUUACAAUUAUCUCUAUCUAUAACAGUACUUUCUGUGGAAAAUGUUAUUGAAAAUCUUCAAAUUUUAAGAAAAUUGUUAAAAAUUGACUAUGAAGGGC
rnacentral:lncRNA from 1 species